GGACUUUAAUAUCACCAACCAUUCCCAUGUUAUUAUGGUGUAUCCAUAUAAAUGGCCCACCCUGUACAAUAUUUUAAUUGGCUGCACUUUUCAAAAGUCAGCACUGCAGGAUAGAUUUCUUUGGCAUUUUAUCUAAUGGCUAUGAAAAUAAGUAGCAGAGUAGCAGACAUUUAUCUUCCCUGGUUCCAUUGUUACUCAUCUAGCAGGUCCUUUUAUAAUUUAAUUGAACAAUUCUCCUCAGUCUCCAUCUCAUGGGGUGUUCCCCAGGGGUCCGUUCUUGGUCCCAUUUUAUUCUCUAAAUAAUUUAUACGGUCCUUUUGGGAUCAGAUGAUCUGUAAAUACAGUCUUAAUUUGCACAGUUAUACACACAGUUGCAUGUUCUGCUAAAGGGCAGUUGUGCUUUCAUGUGUGUAAUUCACCUUAGUCUGAGAUUUUCAACAAACUGCACUGCUCUUUAAAAUUUCCCCAAAGUAUGCUGUUAAGAAGAAAAAGGAAAAGAAUAAGUCUUAACCUCCUAGGACCUGGCGUCCACAUGUGGACAUCACAUUUGGGGUUAUUUAGACCAAAAUACUUAAUUUUGCUCUACAAGGGCCUGAUAUCCACUUACAAGGACAUUAUACUGCUACUGUUCUAUUGAAAUUUUAAACGGAUAUCCUCAUAUGUGGCUCUCAUUUUGUUAGAAACAAAAAUCAAGUAAAAAAAAAUAAAUCUGUUAAUUCUUUGUUUUUACAUUCAUCUGGUCCCAAUCAGCCCAAAUAUCAAAGAGAAAUUAAAAAUGCAUGCCGUGGAAGAGUUCGGGUCUUAGGAGGUUAAAGUGGGCCACAUCUUAGUAAGGGUAGUUUGUUUAUGACUUAAGUUUCACUAGUCGGUCCUGAGUUAUUUUUGCUAUGUUUCAGAGUUUUCUUGUGAUCCAGCUUUAGGUUCUUAACUUUUAGGUUCUCUUUGUGUCUUUGUCCUCUUGCUCCCUCUGUGUGUGUGUGUCCUUGUGUCUUGUCUCCCUUUUCUUUUUUUCAUGUUCCUUUCCUUGUGUGUCAUUCCAUGUCCCCCAUGUUUGUUGUGUGGAUUUAUGUAUGUUCUCCGCAGGUCGCCUUGUCUCUCUCUCGGUCUUUCUCUCUCUCUCUUUCAGGUGCGCAUGCAUGAGCAUCUGUUGGAGGUGUGGGGAGGAGAACGAGUGUGAGGGUUCCUAAGGGUUUGAACUUUGCUUUCGCAGUGAUGAUUCACUUUUUGUUACGUUUUCACAACUUUCUUUCACUGGUGUUUCUGUGUUGUUCUUUUUGGCAGAACAGAGCGUAUGGCUCGGUGGGAUGGCCUGAAGGAAUCAUGGGUCUGAAGCUUUCAGAGCCUCUCCCGUGGGCAUACCAUUAAAAUAUUGGUUGGCGCCAAUUUUUUGGUUGUGGCUGUUUUUGGUUUUGGUUGGUUUGUCUAUAUGAGAAGUUGUCAGAUGUAAACAGAAUUGUGACAAUCUUUUGGGGAAAGGUUUAUAAACCAACCACAUUUAAUGAGAAACCCAUUCACAAAAAGAUAAACAGCCCAAGAUAUCUUAAGAAAGAUAAUGGGUAUUUCAACAAUGUACAAAGGUUUUCCAUAUUUAUUAGAUCUACUGACUUGUACAUCACAAUCAAUUUACAAUUCAUAGAUCAAAGUGGAUCUAUAAAGGCACAAAUACUUCACCCACACUCUGAUUUCGACAUUAAACAAACAAUGUGACUGGCAAAAAUAGAAACUUUUAUUUUACAUUUUAUUUAACAUUUACAUUUAUAUGAUUUGAGGGGGCCCAAAUUGUUGCACUGUUUGCUAAAAAAUGUGCAUGAAACUGUAUCUGACCUAGUCAUGCUGAGUUUGGGUACAUUUGGAAAUUUAAGCGCAUUUUUGGAUCAGUGAUCAUCAUCAGUAAAAAAAAAAAAAGAAAAAAAGAAAAAGAAGUUUAAUAAUUGUCUUUUCUUAAAGAAGUGAGAACUGUGGCAUUUCAGGGGGAGACUUAGGAAAAUUUGUUAUUUUGCAAAAACAUUAAAUUUUGACAUAUAUAGGAACCAGGUUGAUCCUGCCUGCUGUGAAUGUUUUAAUGCAGUUCAAUUCAAUUCAAUUCAAUUUUAUUUAUACAGCGCCAAAUCACAACAACAGUCGCCUCAAGGUAGACUCUACAAUAAUAGAUACAGAGAAAACCCCAACAAUCAUAUGACCCCCUAUGAGCAAGCACUUUGGUGACAGUGGGAAGGAAAAACUCCCCUUUAACAGGAAGAAACCUCCGGCAGAACCAGGCUCACGGGGGGGGGGGGGGGGGCAUCUGCCAUCAGAGAUUAAUAUAUGAUUCAGUGCACAGAGGACUAUAAACACAUAGUGAGUGAGAAAGGUGACUGAAGAAAAAAUACUCAAUGCG
ensembl:lncRNA